GAUGAACGCUGGCGGCGUGCCUAAUACAUGCAAGUCGAGCGAACAGACGAGGAGCUUUCUCCUCUGACGUUAGCGGCGGACGGGUGAGUAACACGUGGAUAACCUACCUAUAAGACUGGGAUAACUUCGGGAAACCGGAGCUAAUACCGGAUAAUAUAUUGAACCGCAUGGUUCAAUAGUGAAAGUCGGUUUUGCUGUCACUUAUAGAUGGAUCCGCGCCGCAUUAGCUAGUUGGUAAGGUAACGGCUUACCAAGGCAACGAUGCGUAGCCGACCUGAGAGGGUGAUCGGCCACACUGGAACUGAGACACGGUCCAGACUCCUACGGGAGGCAGCAGUAGGGAAUCUUGCGCAAUGGGCGAAAGCCUGACGGAGCAACGCCGCGUGAGUGAUGAAGGUCUUCGGAUCGUAAAACUCUGUUAUCAGGGAAGAACAAAUGUGUAAGUAACUAUGCACGUCUUGACGGUACCUAAUCAGAAAGCCACGGCUAACUACGUG
rnacentral:rRNA from 1 species